AGCUCCCUGGAGUGUGCGCCAGUCGGUGAUGUCCCUGAGCCGAUACGCACAACCCUGGGGGUUGUCAGUUGAAGCCGGUGUGCAUGUCCGCUCGACGGAAAGCCUUAAGGUUUCCUGCAACCUCCACCUUGAACUUUCGGGUUCAAGGGCUAAACCGACAGCGGCAUGCUGGGGAGUCA
rnacentral:other from 1 species